rnacentral:rRNA from 1 species
AUUGAACGCUGGCGGCAUGCCUUACACAUGCAAGUCGAACGGCAGCACGGACUUCGGUCUGGUGGCGAGUGGCGAACGGGUGAGUAAUGUAUCGGAACGUGCCCAGUCGUGGGGGAUAACGUAGUGAAAAUUACGCUAAUACCGCAUACGAUCUAUGGAUGAAAGCGGGGGAUCGCAAGACCUCGCUCGAUUGGAGCGGCCGAUAUCAGAUUAGGUAGUUGGUGGGGUAAAGGCCCACCAAGCCAACGAUCUGUAGCUGGUCUGAGAGGACGACCAGCCACACUGGAACUGAGACACGGUCCAGACUCCUACGGGAGGCAGCAGUGGGGAAUUUUGGACAAUGGGCGAAAGCCUGAUCCAGCCAUUCCGCGUGCAGGAUGAAGGCCCUCGGGUUGUAAACUGCUUUUGUACAGAACGAAAAGGUUUCUACUAAUACUAGGAGCUCAUGACGGUACUGUAAGAAUAAGCACCGGCUAACUACGUGCCAGCCGCCGCGGUAA